rnacentral:rRNA from 1 species
AGCGAACGUUAGCGGCGGGCCUAACACAUGCAAGUCGAACGAGAAAACCUUCGGGUGAGUACAGUGGCGCACGGGUGAGGAACGCGUAGGUAAUCCACCCUCUGGCGGGGGACAACAUUCCGAAAGGAAUGCUAAUACCGCGUAAGACCACGCUCACUACGGUGAAAGUGGUUAAAGGUGCCUCAAAGCACCACCAGAGGACGAGCCUGCGUCCCAUCAGCUUGUUGGUAAGGUAACGGCUUACCAAGGCGAAGACGGGUAGCUGGUCUGAGAGGAUGAUCAGCCACACUGGCACUGGAACACGGGCCAG